rnacentral:lncRNA from 1 species
UCCUCUUCUCGGUCCCGGCCUUUCUUCCGGUCUGGGUCGUCUCCUCCUUGGACCCUCUGUUCUCAGCCUCGUCCGUUUCCGGCCCGGUUCUGUCGUUCAGAUUCACAGGUUUGGUAUCGUCGGUACAGUCCGCGUCUGAGUCUAGAUCCGGCUGGUUCCUGGCUGGAGGUCGCGGUCCAUUAGGUCUGUCUCGCUGCUUGAUCUGAGCAAGCUGUUCGGUUAUUGCUCUAUGGCUCGCCCUGAGUUCAUCAU